rnacentral:rRNA from 1 species
UGACCUCUGACCUCAAAUCAGGUAGGACUACCCGCU